AAGGAAUAUUGGACAAUGGGCGCAAGCCUGAUCCAGCCAUCCCGCGUGCUUGAUGAAGGCCCUCUGGGUUGUAAAGAGCUUUAGUCUGGGAAGAAACCGUUUUCUGCGGAAGACGCUGACGGUACCAGAAGAAUAAGCACCGGCUAACUCCGUGCCAGCAGCCGCGGUAAUACGGAGGGUGCAAGCGUUAUCCGGAAUCACUGGGUUUAAAGGGUGCGUAGGCGGUCUGAUAAGUCAGAGGUGAAAGCCUGCAGCUUAACUGUAGAAUUGCCUUUGAUACUGUCAGACUUGAAUGGGGUCGAGGUCGGCGGAAUGUGGCAUGUAGCGGUGAAAUGCAUAGAUAUGCCAUAGAACACCAAUUGCGAAGGCAGCUGACUAGGCCUGUAUUGACGCUGAGGCACGAAAGCGUGGGGAGCAAAC
rnacentral:rRNA from 1 species